UUUGAAACUGGUUGACUAGAGUUUUGUAGAGGGUGGUAGAAUUUCAGGUGUAGCGGUGAAAUGCGUAGAGAUCUGAAGGAAUACCCAGUGGCGAAGGCGGCCACCUGGACAGAGACUGACACUGAGGCGCGAAGGCGUGGGGAGCAAACGGGAUUAGAUACCCCGGUAGUCCACGCAGUAAACGAUGUCUAUUAGAAGUUUGUGGCUAUAUGCCGUGGGUUUCAAAGCUAACGCAUUAAAUAGACCGCCUGGGGAGUACGGCCGCAAGGUUAAAACUCAAAUGAAUUGACGGGGGCCCGCACAAGCGGUGGAGCAUGUGGUUUAAUUCGAUGCAACGCGAAGAACCUUACCAUCCCUUGACAUCCAGAGAAUCACCUAGAGAUAGAUGAGUGCCUUCGGGAACUCUGAGACAGGUGCUGCAUGGCUGUCGUCAGCUCGUGUUGUGAAAUGUUGGGUUAAGUCCCGCAACGAGCGCAACCCUUAUCCUUAGUUGCCAGCACGUAAUGGUGGGAACUCUAGGGAGACUGCCGGUGAUAAACCGGAGGAAGGUGGGGACGACGUCAAGUCAUCAUGGCCCUUACGGGAUGGGCUACACACGUGCUACAAUGGCAAAUACAAAGGGUUGCUAACCUGCGAGGGUAUGCGAAUCUCAUAAAGUUUGUCGUAGUCCGGAUCGGAGUCUGCAACUCGACUCCGUGAAGUUGGAAUCGCUAGUAAUCGUGGAUCAGAAUGCCACGGUGAAUACGUUCCCGGGCCUUGUACACACCGCCCGUCACACCAUGGGAGUGGGCUGCACCAGAAGUCAUUAGCUUAACCUUCGGGAUGGCGAUGACCACGGUGUGGUUCAUGACUGGGGUGAA
rnacentral:rRNA from 1 species